rnacentral:rRNA from 1 species
CAAAAACAUCACCUUCUGCUAACCCAUAGAAGGCCCAGCCUGCCCGGUGACAAAGUUUAACGGCCUCGGUACCCUAACCGAGCGAAGGUAGCAUAAUCACUUGUUCUUUAAAUAGGGACCUGUAUCAACGGCAUCACGAGGGUUGAACUGUCUCCCCUUUUUAAUCAGUGAAUCUGACCUCUUCGUGAAGAAGCGAAGAUAUAAAUAUAAGACGAGAAGACCCCAUGGAGCUUCAAACAAAGUAACACCCUCUUCUACCCCCACCAUAAUAAACAAGAGCCCUGUUAACUAGCUUUUGGAUGGGGCAUCCAAGGAGUAUAAUCUAACCUCCCUGACAACUUAUCUCAGAGCUACUACUCUAAGAAACAGCAAACUGACGUAAUAUGACCCGAUUAUCGAUCAACGAACCAAGUUACCCUGGGGAUAACAGCGCAAUCCAUUUCAAGAGUCCUUAUCGACAAAUGGGUUUACGACCUCGAUGUUGGAUCAGGGUACCCCAGUGGUGCAGCCGCUACUAAAGGUUCGUUUGUUC